GACGAACGCUGGCGGCGUGCUUAACACAUGCAAGUCGAACGCUGAAGCUCAGCUUUUGUUGGGUGGAUGAGUGGCGAACGGGUGAGUAACACGUGAGUAACCUGCCCCCUUCUUUGGGAUAACGCCCGGAAACGGGUGCUAAUACUGGAUAUUCACUGGUCUUCGCAUGGGGGUUGGUGGAAAGGGUUUUUCUGGUGGGGGAUGGGCUCGCGGCCUAUCAGCUUGUUGGUGGGGUGAUGGCCUACCAAGGCUUUGACGGGUAGCCGGCCUGAGAGGGUGACCGGUCACAUUGGGACUGAGAUACGGCCCAGACUGCUACGGGAGGCAGCAGUGGGGAAUAUUGAGCAAUGGGCGAAAGCCUGAUGCAGCGACGCGGCGUGAGGGAUGGAGGCGUUCGGGUUGUGAACCUCUUUGGCUCAUGGUCAAGCCGCAACAAUGGUUGUGGUGAGGGUAGUGGGUAAAGAAGCGCCGGCUAACUACGUG
rnacentral:rRNA from 1 species